AGAGCCCCCCUGGUGACGUGCGCUCAACUGAAGACUGGCGACGUGAUGACAGCGCCACCUUUUGGAAAAAUGAGGAGGUGCACCACAGAUCCAAGAGGAACUCGGAGGCCAACAAAACUAUCCUCAUCCUUGGAAGACGUUCAGACUUCGGAUGCCUGUCUGGACCUCCCGGGCCACCCGGACCUCCUGGACAGUGUAGCUGUCCAACCCUAGCAGCCCCGACUGCUCCUCCGCAGGUCACAACCCCAGCAGC